rnacentral:rRNA from 1 species
AUAGCGUAUAGUACUGUGAAGGAAAGGUGAAAAGCACCCCGGGAGGGGAGUGAAAAAGAACCUGAAACCCUGUGCCUACAAGCACACAGAGGACGUCAAAGUCUGAUGUGGUACUUUUUGUAGAACGGUCCGGCGAGCGAAUGUAUGCAGCAAGGUUAAGUUGUUCAGCAAUGAAGCCGAAGCGAAAGCGAGUCUGAAAAGGGCGUUGAGUUGCAUGCAUUGGGCCCGAAACCGAGUGACCUACCCAUGAUCAGGUUGAAGUGGGGGUAAAACCCCAUGGAGGACCGAACCGACCUCCGUUGAAAAGGCGGCGGAUGAAUUGUGGGUAGCGGAGAAAUUCCAAUCGAACUCGGAGAUAGCUGGUUCUCCCCGAAAUAGCUUUAGGGCUAGCCUCAUGUUAGAUUUCCGGAGGUAAAGCACUGAAUGGCCUAGGGCCCGAGAGGGUACCGAAGCCUAUCAAACUCUGAAUGCCGGAAAAUUGAUGCAUGGGAGUCAGACUAUGUGAGAUAAGUCUCAUAGUCGAAAGGGAAACAGCCCAGAUCUACAGCUAAGGUCCCAAAGCAGGUUUAAGUGGAAAAGGAUGUGGAGUUGCAUAAACAGCCAGGAUGUUGGCUUAGAAGCAGCCACUCAUUUAAAGAGUGCGUAAUAGCUCACUGGUCGAGUGGCUCUGCGCCGAAAAUUCAACGGGGCUAAAACCUGCACCGAAGCUUAGGCAUCCGCAAGGAUGGGUAGGGGAGCGUUGUGUACGAGGCGAAGCAUUAGCGAAAGCGGAUGUGGAUUGUACACAAGUGAGAAUGCCGGAAUAAGUAGCGCGAAUGAUGUGAGAAUCAUCAUGGCCGAAAGCCUCAGGUUUUUGGAGGAAGGUUCGUCCGCUCCAAGUUAGCCGGGAGCUAAGGUGAGGCCGAAAGGCGUAGCCGAUGCACAUACGGUAGAGAUUCCGUAGCCGCCGAAAGAUUUAAGCAGGGGGACACUUUUAAAGUGUUGGAGCCGGGUGUUGGUUUACCCGGUGGUAACCGAGUGAAAUUUAGUAGCGAAGUCCAGCAUGGAGAGAGGCGAGAAAAGCCCUGUGUAUAUCUAAGGCGCCCGUACCGCAAACCGACACAGGUAGGUAGGAAGAAGAUUCUAAGGCCAACGGGAGAAGGGUUGUUAAGGAACUCGGCAAGUUGACCCCGUAACUUCGGGAGAAGGGGUGCUCAUGAAAGUGAGCCGCAGAGAAUAGGCCCAAGCAACUGUUUAGCAAAAACACAGGUCUGUGCUAAAUCGAAAGAUGACGUAUACGGGCUGACACCUGCCCGGUGCUGGAAGGUUAAGGGGACAUGUGCAAGCAUCGAACCGAAGCCCCAGUAAACGGCGGCCGUAACUAUAACGGUCCUAAGGUAGCGAAAUUCCUUGUCAGGUAAGUUCUGACCCGCACGAAUGGUGUAAUGAUUUGGGCACUGUCUUAACAGCCCGCCCGGCGAAAUUGUAGUACCGGUGAAGAUGCCGGUUUCCCGCGACAAGACGGAAAGACCCCAUGGAGCUUUACAGCAGCCUAAUAUUGGGUUUCGAUAUUACAUGUACAGGAUAUGUGGGAGACAUGGAAGCACGGGCGUCAGCCUGUGUGGAGUCAGCCUUGGGAUACCACACUUGUGAUGCUGGAAUUCUAACCUGCGGCCUUGAAUCAGGUCGGGGGACAUUGUUAGGCGGGCAGUUUGACUGGGGCGGUCGCCUCCUAAAAUGU